UGGGGAAUAUUGCGCAAUGGGCGAAAGCCUGACGCAGCAACGCCGCGUGGGUGAUGAAGGCCUUCGGGUUGUAAAGCCCUGUCGGGUGGAACGAACAGCUCUCGUAAGGGAGCCUGACGGUACCAUCAAAGGAAGCACCGGCUAACUUCGUGCCAGCAGCCGCGGUAAUACGAAGGGUGCAAGCGUUGCUCGGAAUUACUGGGCGUAAAGCGUACGCAGGCGGUCCUGCCAGUCAGGCGUGAAAGUCCGGGGCUCAACCCCGGGAAGUCGUCUGAAACUACAGGACUUGAGUACGGGAGAGGGGUGUGGAAUUCCCAGUGUAGAAGUGAAAUUCGUAGAUAUUGGGAGGAACACCGGUGGCGAAGGCGACACCCUGGCCCGAAACUGACGCUCAUGUACGAAAGCGUGGGGAGCAAACAGG
rnacentral:rRNA from 1 species